AUUUAGGAAUUCGACUCAUUUGAAAGUCAAGAAAUUAUUAGUUCUCAAAAGACCCAAUUAGAACUUUAUUUGGAUGAACCAAGACUUGACCGUGGUGCUCAACUCGACAUUCUUUCAUUUUGGAAGACUAAUGAGCAUAGAUACCCCGAGCUCUCUUUAUUGGCAAGGGACAUAAUGGCAGUUCCUAUCUCUACGGUUGCUUCAGAGAGUACUUUCAGUGUAGGUGGGAGAAUCCUUAACCAAUACUGUAGCACUCUUAAGCCUAACAAUGUGGAGGCUUUAGUUUGCACACGUGAUUGGUUAUAUGGUAUCAAAGAUGACAUGCAACCAAAAUUAGAUGAGCUUUCUGAGGAUAUCAUGCAAUUAGAUAUUGGAGAAUCUAUGCCAACACAAGUAUGAAUCUCUCAUACUAUGAUGCGGUAGCUGAAGGAUGUGAAGCCUAUAAUCUAGGAACUGGAAAGGGAACAUCUGUUUUAGAAAUGGUGGCAGCAUUUGAGAAAGCCUCUGGAAAGGUACAUAAAGAAAUUUCUACAUGAUCAUCAUGUUGUUUGCAUAAGAAGACUAUUUUGUUUAAAUAUGAUUGCCUUUUAUCCUCAUUGUAAAUUUAUAAAAUUGGUUCUUUUGGAUUUUGGGACUUGCAUUUGUGCUUUACGUGUUCUCUUCUUCUGUGUUGGUACUGCAGUUCUUGCAGGUAAAAAAUUCAUAAGCGAAUAAUCCUUAUGUCAUAUGAUACUAUUCCACUUACUACAUGUUUCUUUUUUUGCUUCUAUGAACUUGCAGUUUGUCUUCGCAUCCAAGUUAACAAAGUUACAAAGACAACAAGGAAUUCAAGGACUUGCCACCGGAGCGAGCUUUUGCUGAUUUUGUCCUCUGCAAUCUGAUUCUCCACCUUGUGAUCAUGAACUUAUUUGAAUAGAACUGUAUUAAUAUAAGUUGGAAACUGCAGCAAUAUGUAUUAGGUCUUAUCAGUUUUUGGACAUGUCCAUUUAUGGUACUCGCAUAAUUGUUUACCUGGUUGAAGAUUGUACUCUUGCCUCACAAUUCUCAGGAUUU